UACGUAGGGUGCGAGCGUUAAUCGGAAUUACUGGGCGUAAAGCGUGCGCAGGCGGUUUUGUAAGCCAGAUGUGAAAGCCCCGGGCUUAACCUGGGAAUGGCAUUUGGGACUGCAAGGCUUGAGUGCGGCAGAGGAGACUGGAAUUCCUGGUGUAGCAGUGAAAUGCGUAGAUAUCAGGAGGAAUACCGAUGGCGAAGACAGGUCUCUGGGCUGACACUGACGCUCAUGCACGAAAGCGUGGGGAGCAAACAGG
rnacentral:rRNA from 1 species